UACAUCAGAUCCACUGAGCCAUUUGUAUAAUUACAGUAGAUUAGGUCACUUUGCUGUAUUUUAUGGAUGUAAACUGUGAUCUGGUGCGUUCACACUGCCACAGGCUCUAAAGUGGAAAAUUAACUUCCUGGUGUCUUUUUCUCACGUCACGCGCUGUGUGCACAGAGACACAUCGAUGUCAACACAGCUCUGCUCUCCCAUCUGUACCCCACAAUUUACAUUUUAGUGGAUUGGUAGAGCUACAAAACCUAAGUGCAACAUAAAAUUGCCUUCCACACCCCGAACGUGCUGGCUGAAGCCGCCAAGCUUAACAGCUCUUCUGGCAGAAACGCUCAGUGUGACAUGAUGUAAACGUCAGUGUCGUCCCCUCAGCUGGGCUGUGAUGUUAGUUGGCUGCGCAGUUCUUUGGGUUGGCAGGUUGUAAUUCACCAGAAACCAAAUGGUUCCUACACAAAACUACUCACAACAAGGUUUGUGUGUUUUCUGAGUAACUGGGUCGGGAUUGCAAAUGUAUAUAUAUUUUUUUUUUUUCAUUUUUCCUUUUUUGAAGAGAUUUGAGCACCACAAUGCGAGUGGUGUGUUUGGUCUUUUGUAGUCAAAACAAGGCAGACCUCGCUAUGGCAGUUCUCUGUAAAACUGGGUAACUCACACAAACACUGUGUACAUCAAUAAUCAGCACUACAACACACACAUUUGACUUUAGUAACCUUUUAACUGAGUGCAAAUGCUGAGCAGAACAAACGAAAGGAGAUCAUUUUAGAAAAAUAGCUGAGUAAGGAAAUAUGAUCUAAUUAAGUAUGAUCGUAUUCCUGCCUGCACCAAGACGCUGCCUGGACAAGUCGUCCACCAAUGCACAAAAAUGCACUCAGGCUAAUAUCUCUGCAAAAACCAGUGCAAACUCUCUAAUCUCUCAACUUUCAUCACAAACAGUACGAAGGUUUGAUUUUUAGGCACAAUUAGCAUGAACUUAAUGUCCGGUGUUAACAGGCUAGAGCUCUUCCUGCAGGGUCACAAUCAGUCAAUCAGUUAUUGGUCACAUGCAGCUGAUUGACCCGACUUCUCACGUGGGUCCUGUGUUGUGUGUGUGUUGUGUGUGUGUGUUUGUGGUAUUGAGAUCCAGCUGACCCAAUUCAGUGGGACAGAGCAGCGUCUCUGUCUGAGCUUCAGAGCGAACCGGCUGCAGGUCAGACAGAGACGCUGCUCUGCAGACAGAACGGCCCCGAGGCUGCACAGCAGUUCAUCUGCAUGGGAGACCAAACUCGGCCCGUUUAAACCCUCAGACAGAAGAAGCCCUGGCCGUGACACCACACAGGAAAUGAGCUGUUAGUCAGAGACCAGCAAGAAGGGAAAGAGAUCAAAACCAAGGCUGGACCGGAGCGAAAUGAAGGAAACAUGCUAAUCAACAAGGAGUUCAAAGAUCUCAACCUAUGAGGAAAAAAAAUCUGUCUCAGAAUACCUGAGAUUUACCUGGUGACCCUUCGGCAGAGCUGAGGCCUAGAGCAUCCCAGCUGCAAAGUUUCUUUAACAUUAGCAAAGCAAAAGGCUGCAGGACAGGUGAGCAGAACAACUGCACCAAACACACAGGUGACAUUAGCUAAGCACUUACUCUUUUACACUGCAAGCUGCUGGAGUUGACCAUAUUCCUCUGUCAAUACAACGAGGUAAUAGACAAUGGAGACUUUCUGGAUUUAUAAGACAGCCCACUAAAUAUCCUGGCUUAUGAGGACUUUGACUUUACUUUGUUAUGACCUUUAUUUGCCUUUGAAGAUGAGCUUUUGUUACCUGUGGUUGAUGGCGCUGUGUGGGGGUUUUCCUGUGUGAUUUGGGUUGAAUUUGGUGAAUGAUUGUUGAUAUCUGUCCAGGUAACUGAAGACUCGUCCUGUUGGUGGAGUUUAACUUGAGAUUUUUCAGCCCUAAGUGGAAGUUUUCUACUCGGGAAACACUACGAGGAAAGAUUUGGUGCAUUCAUGGACUCUGUUUCCUCCCUGAUGAAGACUUGAAACAAACGAACUGAGUUCUUUGAUAUUUUAGUUUAUGCUAAUGUUUGUUUGGCUCAGUUUGAAUGAGGUUAUUUGCAUCUUUAGUACUGAAUAAAACAGUGAAUUACUUGAUUUUCCUGAAUGAACUUCUGGAUGAUGUUUGACCGCCAUGUUGGAGGUCUUUGAAAGUUCAGCUUUCAGCGCCACAAACGGCAAUCACAAGCAUCGGCAGCUUUCUGGGUAAAAGACAGAGAAACUUUUUGGGGAGUGUCCUGGGGCACGACUCUAAUCCAGCACACACACUUUCAACCCUAAUUUAUAAAUCGAGAUUCCCGACCGACUCUUCCGAGAUGAUAACCUCGCUGU